rnacentral:rRNA from 1 species
UACGUAGGGUGCGAGCGUUAAUCGGAAUUACUGGGCGUAAAGGGCUCGUAGGCGGCCAACUAAGUCAGACGUGAAAUCCCUCGGCUUAACCGGGGAACUGCGUCUGAUACUGGUUGGCUUGAAUCCGGGAGAGGGAUGUGGAAUUCCAGGUGUAGCGGUGAAAUGCGUAGAUAUCUGGAGGAACACCGGUGGCGAAGGCGGCAUCCUGGACCGGUAUUGACGCUGAGGAGCGAAAGCCAGGGGAGCAAACGGG